rnacentral:lncRNA from 1 species
AACCUCUGUGUGGUAGCCAGUCAUUAGCGGUGGUGAGGGCUACGGCCUCUCCCUGACAAGCUCACCUUGCCAGACGGUGCCCCCAUGAAUGCAAAAUGCAGUCAGAUCCCGCUAUCGGAAAGAGGUAACAAAGCGCAGUCAGGUCACACCAUCGGAAACAGGUAACAAAGCGCAGUCAGGUCACACCAUUGGAAACAGGUAACAAAGCAGUCAGGUCACACCAUCAGAAACAGGUAACAAAGCUCAGUCAGGUCACGCCAUUGGAAACAGGUAACAAAGCAGUCAGGUCACACCAUCAGAAACAAACAUCAGAAACAGGUAACAAAUCACAGUUGGGUCACACCACCAGAAACAGGUAACAAAGCGUAGUCAGGUCACACCAUCGGAAAUGGGUAACGAAGCGCAGUCAUGUCACACCAUCAGAAACAGGUAACAAAGUGCAGUUGGGUCACACCACCAGAAACAACCAUCAGAAACAGGUAACAAAACACAGUCGGGUCACACCAUCAGAAACAACCAUCAGAAACAGGUAACAAAGCGCAGUCAGGUCACACCAUCGGAAACAGGUAACAAAACACAGUCGGGUCACACCAUCAGAAACAACCAUCAGAAACAGGUAACAAAGCACAGUCAGGUCACACCAUCGGAAACGGGUAACGAGGCACAGUUGGGUCACGCCAUCAGAAACAACCAUCAAAACAGGUAACAAAGUGCAGUCGGGUCAUGCCAUCAGAAACGGGUAACGAAGCGCACUCGGGUCACACCGUCG